rnacentral:rRNA from 1 species
GGAUGAACGCUGGCGGCGUGCCUAAUACAUGCAAGUCGAGCGAACAGAUAAGGAGCUUGCUCCUUUGACGUUAGCGGCGGACGGGUGAGUAACACGUGGAUAACCUACCUAUAAGACUGGGAUAACUUCGGGAAACCGGAGCUAAUACCGGAUAACAUAUUGAACCGCAUGGUUCAAUAGUGAAAGGCGGCUUUGCUGUCACUUAUAGAUGGAUCCGCGCCGUAUUAGCUAGUUGGUAAGGUAACGGCUUACCAAGGCAACGAUACGUAGCCGACCUGAGAGGGUGAUCGGCCACACUGGAACUGAGACACGGUCCAGACUCCUACGGGAGGCAGCAGUAGGGAAUCUUCCGCAAUGGGCGAAAGCCUGACGGAGCAACGCCGCGUGAGUGAUGAAGGUCUUCGGAUCGUAAAACUCUGUUAUCAGGGAAGAACAAAUGUGUAAGUAACUGUGCACAUCUUGACGGUACCUGAUCAGAAAGCCACGGCUAACUACGUGCCAGCAGCCGCGGUAAUACGUAGGUGGCAAGCGUUAUCCGGAAUUAUUGGGCGUAAAGCGCGCGUAGGCGGUUUUUUAAGUCUGAUGUGAAAGCCCACGGCUCAACCGUGGAGGGUCAUUGGGAAACUGGAAAACUUGAGUGCAGAAGAGGAAAGUGGAAUUCCAUGUGUAGCGGUGAAAUGCGCAGAGAUAUGGAGGAACACCAGUGGCGAAGGGCGACUUUCUGGUCUGUAACUGACGCUGAUGUGCGAAAGCGUGGGGAUCAAACAGGAUUAGAUACCCUGGUAGUCCACGCCGUAAACGAUGAGUGCUAAGUGUUAGGGGGUUUCCGCCCCUUAGUGCUGCAGCUAACGCAUUAAGCACUCCGCCUGGGGAGUACGACCGCAAGGUUGAAACUCAAAGGAAUUGACGGGGACCCGCACAAGCGGUGGAGCAUGUGGUUUAAUUCGAAGCAACGCGAAGAACCUUACCAAAUCUUGACAUCCUUUGACCGCUCUAGAGAUAGAGUCUUCCCCUUCGGGGGACAAAGUGACAGGUGGUGCAUGGUUGUCGUCAGCUCGUGUCGUGAGAUGUUGGGUUAAGUCCCGCAACGAGCGCAACCCUUAAGCUUAGUUGCCAUCAUUAAGUUGGGCACUCUAAGUUGACUGCCGGUGACAAACCGGAGGAAGGUGGGGAUGACGUCAAAUCAUCAUGCCCCUUAUGAUUUGGGCUACACACGUGCUACAAUGGACAAUACAAAGGGCAGCUAAACCGCGAGGUCAAGCAAAUCCCAUAAAGUUGUUCUCAGUUCGGAUUGUAGUCUGCAACUCGACUACAUGAAGCUGGAAUCGCUAGUAAUCGUAGAUCAGCAUGCUACGGUGAAUACGUUCCCGGGUCUUG